AGGGAUCCCUCAAACUCAGGAUUGAGUGUGAUCAGCUGUGGAGCUCAGACAUAAGCCCGUUAGAGCAUGCAACGUGGUCACGUGACACGGUUUGGACCAAUGAGAUGGGGAGAGCUGUUUAUUGUGGGUUCCUGGAUCUGGUUGACCUGAAGAACUCCUUUGCUUCCUCUGACGUGAUCUGACUUGACAUCGCCAAGACUUCAUCAGCUGCCCCCUCACCAACCCCACAACCCCAGCGUGGAACUGACCCCUAAGAGGCUGAGCUACGGUCACUCUCCAGCAGCAAGGGAGGAUGGGAAAACUGGGAGCUGACUGGAGGAAGCCGGCCCGCACAUAUGGCAUGGUUUGAAUGAACGACGUCUACUGUAGAGGGUCCUCCCUCAUCAGUCUGUUGAGAGCCAUCUUGAGGUCCCAGCUGGACAUUCAAGUCAAAGCAGGGAGACAACACACAGCUCUUUAAAAACACCUCAUGAGGCUGAUGAUAUUUUGCUUCACUGUUUGGGACAGAGUCUCACCAUGUGACUCAGGAUUGCUCAAACUCGAGAUCCUCCUGCCUCAGUCUCUGGAGUCCUAUGAUUACAUGUGUGUGCUAUCAUGUCUGCCACUUAUAUGACAUUUGAUUUCUGCUUCUA
rnacentral:lncRNA from 1 species